UACAGAGGUCCCGAGCGUUGUUCGGAUUCAUUGGGCGUAAAGGGUGCGUAAGCGGCGGGGGAAGUCUGAUGUGAAAUCCUGGGGCUCAACCCUGGAACUGCAUUGGAUACUUCCUUGCUAGAGUACUGGAGAGGAAACUGGAAUUUACGGUGUAGCAGUGAAAUGCGUAGAGAUCGUAAGGAAGACCAGUGGCGAAGGCGAGUUUCUGGACAGUUACUGACGCUGAGGCACGAAGGCCAGGGGAGCAAACGGG
rnacentral:rRNA from 1 species